rnacentral:misc_RNA from 1 species
GAUGAAGAACGUAGCGAAAUGCGAUACGUAGUGUGAAUUGCAGAAUUCAGUGAAUCAUCGAAUCUUUGGACGCACAUUGCACCUCUCGGUAUUCCGGGAGGUAUGCCUGUUCGAGCGUCAUUUGUACCCUCAAGCUCUGCUUGGUGUUGGGUGUUUGUUCCGCCUCUGUGUGUGAACUCGCCUCAAAACAAUUGGCAGCCGGCGUACUUGUUUCGGAGCGCAGCACAUUUUGCGAUCCAGAUCAACGUACAGCGGCAUCCAAGAAGCCUUAUUUAACGCUCUUGACCUCGGAUCAGGUAGGGAUACCCGCUGAACUUAAGCAUAUCAAUAAGCGGAGGA